rnacentral:rRNA from 1 species
AUUGAACACUGGCGGCAGGCCUAACACAUGCAAGUCGAGCCAGCGUCGGACGGGAGAGUAAUGCCUUGGACUUGCCCAGUCUAGGGGGGUAACAGUGGUACACGACUGCUAAUACCCCAUACGAUUUGUUUGCCCAGGUGGGAUUAGCUGGUUGGUGAGUUAAGGGCUCACCAAGGCGACGUGCCCUAGCUGGUCUGAGAGGAUGAUCAGCCAUACUGGAACUGAGACACGGACCAGACUCCUACGGGAGGCAGCAGUGGGGAAUAUUGCACAAUGGGGGAAACCCUGAUGCAGCCAUGCCGCGUGUGUGAAGAAGGCCUUCGGGUUGUAAAGCACUUUCAGCGAGGAGGCGUUACUCGCAGAAGAAGCACCGGCGAACUCCGUGCCAGCAGCCGCGGUAAUUC